UUUAUUGUGGAUACAAUGGAGAAUAUUAUGUGAUUCACUUACAAAAGGUGGAAGUGGCUGAAAUUUCUCUAUCACCUCUGUGAAACCUAUCAGAUUCUCUUUUUUUCUGGAGAGUAGUCAAUAGCUGCUCUAAGGAGGCAGCAGACACGAAAAUGGCUGCUCAGACUGAAAAGCAAGCAUUGAUAUUUGAGUAGCACUUUCCACUUUACAAAGAAUUUUCACAUGUCAGAGUUCCUGGAAUAUUGGAGGUCUCUUGAACUUACUUCCUCCUGUCUAACUGAAAUUUUGUAUCCUUUGACCAACAUGUCCUCAGCCCUGACCCCUA
rnacentral:lncRNA from 1 species